AUUCGUCUUAUCUGUGAUUUCCAAUCGUUAACUUUGAAUUUGUAUAAUUCCUAUUUUUUUUAAAGUUUCUCUGUUAUAUACAAUUUAAAGAAAACAAUAGACCAAACUUGUUUUAAUUUGGAAAAUAGCUAGACUAGUCAUCAAAAUAAAUUACGACUGAUUAGUGAAUAUUGUAGCUACGCAAUUUAUUUCACUGUAGUUGUCAAAUAGGUGAUUUGAAGUAAUCGAUGUCCUGAAAAUUUGUCCGUUUGCUGCCGCUGCAGCAGGCCCAUUUUUUUCAAGAAAGUAAAAUGUCGUAAGUUCGGAACAUUUGCAAGAAAUAAUGCGGUAUUAAACCAGCAGUCAGAAAAGGAAUAAAUUCGAUUUUAAGAGUGAAUCAUAUAUCCACUUGUUUAUUAAAUUACAUAUCUUGCCAAUGCAAGAUUUCAUUGACGUAACGCUGUAUUUUUUUAACUAAUUUUGUAUUAUUCCGUAACAAUUUAUUGUAAAAACCGGUUAAGUGCGAGACGGACUCAGGGUCCCGUAUGAAUAGGCUACUGAUCAACAUCAGGAACAAAUAAAUUUGUGGCUGUCACGGCCCAUUGCUAUCGCUAAUUCUAUGAAAUUGCCCUAUUAACGAAGCACCGCUUUCCGGCACUAGGCUUCAUCUCAUGAACCUUAGUUUUGUGAUUUUAUUUCCCGCUAAAACAACCCAAUAACAAAUUGUUAGGUAACAAACAAAUGCCUGGGUACCUACCCUCAAAAUUGAUUACUGUACGUACGUGCCUGUUUGUACGGAACCCUCCUACGUUGCGAGUUCGACUUGCACUUGAAGACUUAUAGACCAGUGUCAAGGCUAUGCAUGCCUUGAGGAUACUCACCUAAGUAAAUGAGAGAUUCCAAAACCAUUUCAACAAAAAUGGAUAGUGAGCAAGUUAGCUAUUGCUUCUGAAUAAUGAUUCAGCAGCAAUAGAAAUUAGUUAAACAAGUGCCAUGUUCUCAUUUCCAAAAUUGUAGGAUUUUAGCUUGUGUUGUGUCACUGGAUUAUAAAUAAGAUGUAUGUAAUCUAGGUAUGGUUGUAGGAUAGGUUUUGCCCUCUUGUUCAGUCAGUUUCUAUUUUAAACCUUUGAUUUUUGCAACUUUAAAAACAUUACUUGGGAGACUUAUUAUUGUGUGUCUGUGUUUUGAGAGCAUUUAAAGUAGAAAAACAAAAAAUUAUAUAAAUAUAGGGCAAGAUGAAAACUUAUGAAAUAAUAAGGCAAGAUUUUUAUUAGUUAAUCAUCUCCCACUGUUAUUUGAGUUAUAAUUAUACAUUUCAGUGUAUUACAGAGAGGCACAUUGACAGGGAUAACAAAAUAAAAAAUGCUUUAAUUGAUGAAAUUCUAAUUAACCACUGAAUUCUCCACAAGUUAGCAGGAUCUCAUAAACAAAGGAAUUGAUCAAUAAAAAUAAAUCACGCGUAGUGAUA